UACAGAGGGGGCAAGCGGUGUUCGGAAUUACUGGGCGUAAAGGGCGCGUAGGCGGCCCGCUAAGUCGAACGUGAAAUCCCCGGGCUCAACCCGGGAACUGCGUCCGAUACUGGCGGGCUUGAAUCCGGGAGAGGGAAGCGGAAUUCCGGGUGUAGCGGUGAAAUGCGUAGAUAUCCGGAGGAACACCGGUGGCGAAGGCGGCUUCCUGGACCGACACUGACGCUGAGGCGCGAAAGCUAGGGGAGCAAACGGG
rnacentral:rRNA from 1 species